UACAGAGGUGGCAAGCGUUGUUCGGAAUUACUGGGCGUAAAGGGCGCGUAGGCGGCCUUCUCAGUCAGACGUGAAAUCCCCGGGCUUAACUCGGGAACUGCGUCUGAUACUGGAAGGCUGGAGUUCGGGAGAGGGAUGUGGAAUUCCAGGUGUAGCGGUGAAAUGCGUAGAUAUCGAGAGGAACACCUGCGGCGAAGGCGGGUUGCUGGGCUGAUACUGACGCUGAGGCGCGAAAGCCAGGGGAGCGAACGGG
rnacentral:rRNA from 1 species